ACGCGUCGUUUGAGAGCGGUGGUGGAUUGUUCAAAUACGCAACAGAGUAGAGACAUAGGGAAAGAGAGAGAAAUGUGAGAGAACGAUGAAAGAGAUGAGAGAGAGACGGUUGCCGGCCAUUUCCUCCGGCUAACCGUCUUAGUACUCCGACGAGUGGUGGCGGCUCUAGGGUUCCGGCUAUUGAACCUGGCGGCAACCACAACCGACGGUCCACAGAGGCGUCGUACAUCCAUGAUGGUUGUGGUUUCAACGUCGAUGGCGGUUUGGAACUCAACCCCCUGCUUCAACUUUCACCCUACAUCGAUUUCCCAAGAAAACCUUUCGAUCUCCGCCAGCCCUAAAUCCAUUCCGUGCGCCACACCUCGCAAAGUCUCUUCUGUGACACACCACCAUCCAAAUGAAGGAGGCAUGCGAUUUGAAGAUCUGGUUUACCCAGAUCGGUUUCGGCGAAAACGUUUCGGAAAAAGAAGUUGCUAGGGUUUGACGAAGCAGGGUCCCAUCGUGAACCCUCAGCGGCAACGAUGGUGCUCAGGUUCUAUGUAGCAUAUGUUCAAACACAGGAUACAGAGGGUUUUACUCGGUUUCUUCAGUGGGGUUCUAUGCAGCAUAUGUAAGAACAUCUCAAUAGUUCUUUUUUAGAUACACCGGAUAAGAUUAAGGUUUUUGCAAGUUGCUUCAAUUCAACUUAUCAAACAGACCUUCAGUAAAGAAGCCAGGUGGCAUGGUUUGGGCACCCAGAGCUUCAACACAGUGUUCGGGCUUUCACUAAUUACACAAGGGUCUAAAUCUGCGGGAAACAAGAAGGCGGAAAAUAUAGCGGCUAUGGCGCUAAUUCGGCCCUAAGUGGUGGUGUAGUGGCUGUGCAUGCAAAUUCCCAACGAAGUUCAGAAAGUGGAGAAUUUACGAGCAAUGUUUGCAGUGGAUUUAGAAAUUGUAGAAUGCGAAAUCUUAUUCAGUCCGCUUCUUUUGACUCAUCAAAAGUGCAUAACUCUCGAGAUUUACUCGAUGUAAGCUUGCAGGUGUGCACGUUGUUGUGAAGCUCCUAUAAAAAUUUGAGGUCGAUUGGACUAUUAGAUCACCGGGGAGGGGAGCGUUCGAUCUCUGCUACUUGGUCACAGAAAAACGGGAAUUCUUGCCCCCUCUGUCGACCUACUCUGAAUAUGCGCAGUUUGAUUUGGUGUUGCAUAUUACAUUUGACCCAUGCCACUUUCAAGCCCACAAAAACAUCAUCAUUGGACCUUUAGAUAUGAUCGAAUAUGAAUACCACUAUUGGGUGAAUGAGGAAUUAUUAAGCUACGCUUGCAGCUGAAGGUUUUUUUUUUUAUCUCCUUUAUCGUAUAUAAUUAUACGUUUACUGUUUCAGUAGUCGCAUGACCAUAAAAGUUAAGACUUCCCUCAGAUAUUGCUACGGUUAAUGAUUUAGAACGUGUAUUUUUAUUAAGUUUAAAUAAUAAGAUUAGAUUAAAAGAA